CAGACUCCUCGGCCGCCAUCCUGCCCCUCCGUCAGGUUGCUCCACCACCGGGUGGAGACCAGACUCAGCCCUUCAUGGUCUGUGUCCCCUUCUCGACUAGUGAUCUGUAUAAUUGGAAACAACGGAACCCCUCCUUCUCUGAUAAACCCCAAGGUUUCAUCUCUCUCCUAGAGACAGUCUUCCACACCCAUCAGCCCACUUGGGAUGACUGUCAGCAAUUGUUGCAGGUCCUGUUCACGUCUGAGGAGAGGGACAGGGUCCACAGAGAGGCAGCAAAAUCCGUCCUCGGGACAGAUGGCCAACCCCUCACGAAUCUGGCCCAACUAGAGGCCCACCUCCCUACCCUCGAACCCGAUUGGGACCCGAACACCUAUCAAGGUAAGGAGGCUUUAGCCCAGUACCGCCGAUCUCUACUCGGGGCCUCCGCGGAGCUGCUAGAAGGCCAACUACUCUAAGCUCUUUGCAGGCAAUCCAGAGGCUGCAAGAACAGACCCAACAGCUAAUCAAGGACGCCAGACCCCAACCAGGGACACCCCAGAUACCACCGCACGACUUCACCCCUGGUGACUGGGUCAAGAAACAUCAACCUGCUUCCCUGGAGCCUUGCUGGACUGGCCCUUUUCCUGUUAUCCUGAUGACGCCCACGGCUUUGAAGGUAGCAGGACGGAAAGUUUGGAUUCACCACACUCAGAGAAAGCACACCCUGAGCAAAUACCUGAACAAGGGGCCUUACAGCGGACCGAGGAUCCC